rnacentral:lncRNA from 1 species
UGGCAAGUCGUAACUAAGGAGUACGCCGCCUUCUUGACUUUCUAAAAACCAUAAAUGUCCGAUAAAUAAAACGGAAUUUUAAAUGAAAUAGCACCUACCUCAAAAACUUCAUUUUAAUUAAAUGUUAUCCGAAUUUGAAUCGUACACGUAACGAAAUAAUCUUUCCCUUGAAAAUCUCCAUUCGUAUGACGUCGUGUUUUGCCAUGACGUAAAUUCGCCAAAUCCUUCAUGAAAUUUCGCGGAAUUUUAUUAAAUCUUAUUUUUAUACAUUUUCGAAGCUUUAGUGCUUUAAUUUUAUUUCUUUUUUUGUUACAUAUUAUGCACUAGAAUAGUCACAACUGUUAUGCAAUUGUUUUUAAAUCUCAAUUUGCUGAAAAUCCCGGGAUCACUGCAAGCUUGUGUAUCGCGCAUGAAUAGAUUACAAAAGUAGUUUCGGAAACAUGGUUUAUCGAAGUGUAAACUUAGAGAAAAAUUCUAAUUGACCAAUCCAAUUCAAGUAUUUAUAGAUAUGCAAAUCAUAUAAGAAUUAUUUAUUAUUAUAUUAUUAGUUGAUUGAACUUUUGAUUUGUUUUGACAUGAUGUCUUCUAAAUUGUGUGGCAGUUAAAUUUUUGGGAAUGACUGCAUCUUAAAGAAGUGUUAUAAAUACGUCAAGAUUUAUUACAAGAAACGGCGGUCUUUUCAGUAUGUCUU